rnacentral:lncRNA from 1 species
AAGAGGACGCCAGGGGGGAGAUUCAGGGGGAUAACGAAAAUGGGCCAACAGGUGUACGGGGCGGCCGCCAUUCCAUAAGGAUUGAACCCAUCAGUUGCCAACGCAACGCGUACGUUACGGGCCUCUAGAGCUCUUGCAGGAUAAAUCGCAUCAAAGCUUUUCCAGGCUUCAGCAUCGGAUGGGUGUACCAGCUUAUCAGGAUUAUAGCGACGGCCGUUUUUGUGCCAUGUCAUCUGUUUCGCAGAUUCUUCAGUCAUGAAAAGCUGUUGGAUCCUCGGUAUGAAAGGAAGAUACCGUAGAACCUUCACAGGAAUUGCGAGCUGCUUUUUCUGACCGUCACCACAGUCUAC